rnacentral:misc_RNA from 1 species
GGUAAGAUUAGUAUUAUUAUUAUAAUAAUUAUUAUUAAUUUUUGGUUUUCUCUUCUCUGAAGUUUUCAUUUUUCUUCUUGUUUUGUGUCAAAAGUUCUCUCUAUACAAAAGCUUCUUAAGGUUUGUUUUAUCAGAAGCUGCUAUUCAAUUUCCUUGAUUUUGAGUCAUUUUCUUUUUUACUACCUUCUUUGCUAGGUUGUGCCUACAGAGAUUGAUUUUUGGGAUGAAGAAAAAAACUGUGGUUUGAUUUUAUAAUCUUUGUGUUUGAGUUUUCGUGGGUUAUUUCAGUAUUUUGAAAGUCUAUUUUGAAAGUCUUACUCGUUGAUUGUUAAAUGGAGGAUAGAGUUUGGUCCCUAAUCAUGGAUUUUCAUUCAUAUUUUCUUUUGGUUAGUUAUGAACUGUUUACUCCCCAUGUGAAUCACGAGACCAGAAGAUUUUUUGGGUUUUAUUUUGUUUCUUCCAUCUAUCUAGAUUAAAGCUUGUGGUUUACCUUGAAAAAUCUUCAGUUUGUUGUUUUGAUUUUUGAGUUUUCUAUUAUUGUCUUCCUUUAACUGGUAUUGCUUCGUCCACAGCCUAGCUAGUUAGCUCCUUCAUUCUUUUGCGAGCUCUGUUUAUGACAGUGAAUUCUCGCGUUUAAUCUAUAUUAUCAUUACUUCGCUUUUUUUAGAUUUGAUUGCUGGUGAUAAGGUAGUGGAUUGUAGUUGCUCAAAGUCUUAAUUUUGAGCACUUUUUCUGGGUUUGCCCACAUAAAAUAACGGUUACCCAGGAUACUUUUAGGGGUUUCAACAUCAUCUUUGCUUGUGGGUUUCGUUCUUUUGUUUAUUUUGUGCUUUGCUUGAUCAAUCAAAACACCGAUACUUCAAUUUCACUUAUUCUCAUCACAUAAAAUAACGGUUCUAGAAUAUGCUAGCUAGUCCGCCAUAUUCUUCUGGGUUUGUUGAUCUCAUUAUGUGUUUUAAUGUCUGUUGCAGGAAGGCUGAUGGAUGAAGAUUCUAGUGGGGUUGCUUGAUCUUG